rnacentral:rRNA from 1 species
GAUGAACGCUGGCGGCGUGCCUAAUACAUGCAAGUCGAGCGAACAGACGAGGAGCUUGCUCCUCUGACAUUAGCGGCGGACGGGUGAGUAACACGUGGAUAACCUACCUAUAAGACUGGGAUAACUUCGGGAAACCGGAGCUAAUACCGGAUAAUAUAUUGAACCGCAUGGUUCAAUGGUGAAAGACGGUUUUGCUGUCACUUAUAGAUGGAUCCGCGCCGCAUUAGCUAGUUGGUAAGGUAACGGCUUACCAAGGCAACGAUGCGUAGCCGACCUGAGAGGGUGAUCGGCCACACUGGAACUGAGACACGGUCCAGACUCCUACGGGAGGCAGCAGUAGGGAAUCUUCCGCAAUGGGCGAAAGCCUGACGGAGCAACGCCGCGUGAGUGAUGAAGGUCUUCGGAUCGUAAAACUCUGUUAUUAGGGAAGAACAAAUGUGUAAGUAACUAUGCACGUCUUGACGGUACCUAAUCAGAAAGCCACGGCUAACUACAUG